rnacentral:tRNA from 1 species
GGAUGGAUAUGCCUAGCGGCGAGGGCAGCAGACUGUAAAUCUGUCACACAUGAAACAACGUAGGUUCGAGUCCUACUCCAUCCA